UACGUAGGGUGCAAGCGUUGUCCGGAAUUAUUGGGCGUAAAGAGCUCGUAGGCGGCUUGUCGCGUCUGCUGUGAAAUCCCGGAGCUCAACUCCGGGCCUGCAGUGGGUACGGGCAGGCUAGAGUGCGGUAGGGGAGAUUGGAAUUCCUGGUGUAGCGGUGGAAUGCGCAGAUAUCAGGAGGAACACCGAUGGCGAAGGCAGAUCUCUGGGCCGUAACUGACGCUGAGGAGCGAAAGCAUGGGGAGCGAAC
rnacentral:rRNA from 1 species